ACAGGAUGUUGACGCGUUGGUCUGCUUUUAGAAAUUCUGGAUUCUUCCUUCCAUCCAUUUCGAUCUCUCUCACAAACCCUUCUGUUGCUAAAGCUUGCCUUCUCUAGCUCUCCGAUCGCGACUCCUCUCUCUCACUUUCCUGCUGAAAAAACCAACCGAGUAUAAAUUUUUCCAGUUCUUUCUCUUAAAAACUACAAAUCACAACUGCCAAACUCCAAAAAAAAAAAAAAAAAAAAAUUGAAUUAGAAAAGCCAUUUACUUUUCCUUGGAUUUGGGUUUUGCUUCAAUUCCUACACUGUCCAAAACUUUGCCGGCUGUAGUGGAGGGGUUUAGUCAUUCAUUCUUAUAGUUUUUGAGUUCCAUAUGAUAUAUCUGUGAUAACUGGGUAUUUUCCGAUAUGGGUUGCUGUUUUUCAAUCCGUUAAGUCCAGAAUAUUUCGCGCUUUUUGCGUUUGUUUAUGUCUAAUUUGCACCGAUUUUGGUCAGAUCUAUUUCUGAUUUUGUUGUCCGUUUGAGCACCGGUUGUUUUUGCAUCGCUGGGAAGUUAAUUUUCCGAACUGAAGUAUGUUUUCUAGUUGCUAUGUUUUGGUUAAUUUUGGAUGGAAUUGUAACCAUUUGGUUUUGGGUUGCCUCUGAUCCUGUGCUAGGGUUUUCUUGGCUAAGAGGAUAUUUUGCGGUUUGGUUCCUCGCUUGGUCAGUCACAGAUUUACCGACAGUUACGGCGGUCCUGUUAUUUUUUGGAGAUGAGUGGGGUGAUUGGAAUGUUUGGAACAUUAGAGUUGCAAAAAGAGACCAGUGAAGUGGUCGAAUCAGUGGUUGAGCGUCUGAAAACUUUGAGCCGCAAGCACAAGCCUGGACUUCCAUCCUGUUCAGCAUACACUACUUCUGGUGGGAACUAAGCGGGGGACAUAAGUUUGUGGGAAGUUAGUUCUAGGGAGAAAUUGCUGUCGAGAAGUUUUCAGGUAUGGGAUAUCGGAGCGAGAUCAAUGAUGCUGAAGGCAACUCUAAUCAAGGAUCCAUGUGUCUCAGUAAAGCGUAUAUUAUGGAGCCCCGAUGGUACUCUAUUUGUGUGGAAAGGUUGUUCAUUAUCUCAUGACCCUGGCCUUCGUUGCUGCUACAAGUGAUACACAUUUCAAUUCACUUUCUAGGGCUAUUUCAUAAGAGAUGAUCAAAGAGGCAGUGGCAAGUACAUUACAAAAGGCGAUUAGUAUUCAUUCAAUGAUCAAGGCAUAUGACAGUCAUUGUAUUCUAAGUCAUGUGUUUCAGCUCCCUGGUUUGUUAUUGUAGAAGAAAUUUCAAUGGUGAAGAGGAACAAACAUAAAACCAGUGCUAUUCUACCAAAAGACCUUAUUCUCAUGACAUUCGGUAUGAUUGCUUAAAUUUUCAAUUCAUUGUAGUAGCUAGAUUGAAACAAUAUUUCCUUAUAUUUUUUGCAUGUAAAUAGUCUAAUUUUUUUUUAAAUGAUAUUAAUCUUCUAUGACACAA